rfam:Clostridiales bacterium PH28_bin88 ph28_335, whole genome shotgun sequence.
UCUGGUGGUAAUGGCGGAGGGGUCACACCCGUUCCCAUGCCGAACACGGAAGUUAAGCCCUCCAGCGCCGAUGGUACUGGGUUUUACCCGGGAGAGUAGGUCACUGCCAGAA